rnacentral:rRNA from 1 species
AUUGAACGCUGGCGGCAGGCUUAACACAUGCAAGUCGAGCGGAGAUGAGGUGCUUGCACCUUAUCUUAGCGGCGGACGGGUGAGUAAUGCUUAGGAAUCUGCCUAUUAGUGGGGGACAACAUUCCGAAAGGAAUGCUAAUACCGCAUACGUCCUACGGGAGAAAGCAGGGGAUCUUCGGACCUUGCGCUAAUAGAUGAGCCUAAGUCGGAUUAGCUAGUUGGUGGGGUAAAGGCCUACCAAGGCGACGAUCUGUAGCGGGUCUGAGAGGAUGAUCCGCCACACUGGGACUGAGACACGGCCCAGACUCCUACGGGAGGCAGCAGUGGGGAAUAUUGGACAAUGGGAGGAACCCUGAUCCGGCCAUGCCGCGUGUGUGAAGAAGGCCUUAUGGUUGUAAAGCACUUUAAGCGAGGAGGAGGCUACUGAGACUAAUACUCUUGGAUAGUGGACGUUACUCGCAGAAUAAGCACCGGCUAACUCUGUGCCAGCCGCCGCCGUAAAAC